ACACCGAAGUUAAGCAUCGUAGAGCCAGGUCAGUACUUAGAUGGGGGACAGCUUGGGAACACCUGGUACUGUAAGC